rnacentral:pre_miRNA from 1 species
AAUGAGAUUACUUGGCUACAUGGUAAGUGUAUGUUUAUAAGAAACUGCAAAACCAUUUUCCAGAGUGGCUGUACCAUUUUGCCACCUCACCAGCAAU